GUGUGUGUUCUUGAAGUGUCUUCUCCUUAGAUUGUCUCCAUGGACCCACUGGAUUAGACUAAACAACAACACCUGGAAGAUCCAGACCAGUUUUCAGUUGUCAUGUCGUCCUCCUUCACAGUAAUGCGUUCGUUUCUUCUGAAUAACACCAAA